rnacentral:rRNA from 1 species
UAAAAAAAGAGUUUUAUAUUGGCUCUCGUAAGUAUUAUCUAGAAACAUAUAUUAUGCAAACUAACAAAUUAUAGAUUUUCAUAAGGGAAAUAGUAGUAUAAUUUAGAGUAGUGAACACACGAGUAAUAGAUAAGAAACUACAACAUAAUAUAGCAAUAAAUUUGUAAUAAGAAUAUUAUAAAAGAAUUUAUAAUAUUUAUAAAGUAUGUAUAAACAUAUGUAUUAUGUGAGGCUUAUCUUAAUAUUAGGUAGUUGGUUACAAUAAAUAGAGAACGCAAGCUUAAAAUAUUUAGUCUAAUUAAGACCGUGUAGGAUCUGAAACAUAUCCUAAUUUCAAUGAAAUCAGCAGUAAGUAACAUUCGUCAAUGAUUGAAAGAUUGAACGAGUUAUCUAGUAGAAUUAUUAAAACUGAAGUUAAAGAUAUGGAAAAAUAGUAAUGUAUUAAAAAAUAUCAGUAAUAGUUUUAGAACGAACAUAAAAUUCGAAUUUUAAUAUAAAAAAGAUAUAUUAAUUGUGAUAGUAUGUACUAAUAUCAGUGCCAGCAGUAGCGGUAAUACUGAUCAUACAAAUACUUAUAAUAUACUUGGCUUAAAGGGUUUGUAGAUGGAUGUAACAAUACAUACUAGAAUUUAUAAGAUGUUAUUUCAAUUUUAAAAGUAAGGAUAAAAUUUGCGUAUAAUUAAAGUUGACCCAAAAUUUGGAAAAUAAUAACAAAUAUGAAUUGACAUUAAGAAACGAAAGUUAAAAUAUAGAAAUCGAUUAGAGACCGGUGUAUUUUUAACCGUAAACGAAACAUAUUGAGAAUAAAAAUAGUUAAACGAUAAUAUGUCGCCAUAGUAGUACGUUCCCAGGAAUAAAACUAAAAAUAUAAGACGGUUUGGAACUCAAGUAGUGGAACAUGUUGUUUAAUUCGAUAAUCCCCGAUAAACUUACCUAUUUUUGUAUUCUAAACAGGUGUUACAUCAUUGUCUUCAAUUCGUGUUGUGAAAUGUUAGGUUAAGUCCAAGCAACGAAUAAAAACCUCUAUAAUAUUAAUAAAUAUUAUUUAUAUUUAAUCAAAAUGGUUAACAUAAAGAGGACUAAGACAAAUCAAGAUGACCCAAAUAGAUAGGGCUACAGAUGUGUUACAAAAUAUAAAGAAAUAAAAAAUUAAAGAAAUAAUAAAAACUUUAAUAAAAUAUAUAAAUUAUAUAAUAAAAUGAUUAUUUCAUUUGCUCCAUGGAUAAAAGUUUGAAAUUCAGCUUUUUGAAAAAGGAAUUACUAGUAAUUAUCGUUAAGUAUACGAUAAUGAAUAUCAUCUUUCAUUCGUACUAAUCACUCAUCACUUGCUUAAAGAAUAAAAUGUUAAGUUUUUUUAAAGUAAAUCAAAUUAAAUUUGUUUUUAUAUUAUUAUUACAGCCCCCUAAUUCAUAUUUUGAAUAGGUAAGAGGUAAUAAUAAUAAUUGUUAUAUAUUUAUUAAAAUAUAUAAUAAUAUUAAAUACGCAUUAAGUUUAAUAAGUAAGAAGUUGAAAUACAGUUACUGUAGAGGAAUCUGCAGUGGUAAAUAAAAAUUU